CCUACGGGAGGCAGCAGCAAGGAAUCUUCUACAAUGGGCACAAGCCCGAUAGAGCAACGCCGCGUGGAGGACGACGGCCUUCGGGUUGUAAACUCCUUUCGGGGGGGAUGAUGAUGACAGUACCCCCAGAAGCAGCCCCGGCUAACUCUGUGCCAGCAGCCGCGGUAAU
rnacentral:rRNA from 1 species